GAUGAACGCUAGCGGCAGGCCUAAUACAUGCAGGUCGAGGGGCAGCAGGAAUAGCAAUAUUCGCUGGCGACCGGCGCACGGGUGCGUAACACGUAUACAAUCUGCCUUUAACAGGGGGAUAGCCCGGAGAAAUCCGGAUUAAUACCCCAUAACAGUGAUCUUGGCAUCAAGGACACUUAAAAGCUCCGGCGGUUAAAGAUGAGUAUGCGUCUGAUUAGCUAGUUGGUGAGGUAACGGCUGACCAAGGCGACGAUCAGUAGGGGAUCUGAGAGGAUUAGCCCCCACACGGAUACUGAGACACGGAUCCGACUCCUACGGGAGGCAGCAGUAAGGAAUAUUGGACAAUGCCCGCAAGGGUGAUCCAGCCAUGCCGCGUGCAGGAAGACGGCCCUAUGGGUUGUAAACUGCUUUUACACCGGAGAAAACCCCACUACGUGUAGUGGGCUGAUAGUAUGGUGAGAAUAAGCAUCGGCUAACUUCGUGCCAGCCGCCGCGGUAA
rnacentral:rRNA from 1 species